rnacentral:rRNA from 1 species
ACGUGAGUGAUGAAGGCCUUCGGGUUGUAAAGCUCUUUUAACAAGGAAGAUAAUGACGGUACUUGUAGAAAAAGCACCGGCUAACUCCGUGCCAGCAGCCGCGGUAAUACGGAGGGUGCUAGCGUUGUUCGGAAUUACUGGGCGUAAAGAGCGCGUAGGCGGCUUGUCAAGUUGGAAGUGAAAUCCCAAGGCUCAACCUUGGAACUGCUUUCAAAACUGGCUUGCUUGAGUUAUGUAGAGGAUAGUGGAAUUCCCAAUGUAGAGGUGAAAUUCGU